GACGAACGCUGGCGGCGUGCCUAAUACAUGCAAGUAGAACGCUGAAGAGAGGAGCUUGCUCUUCUUGGAUGAGUUGCGAACGGGUGAGUAACGCGUAGGUAACCUGCCUGGUAGCGGGGGAUAACUAUUGGAAACGAUAGCUAAUACCGCAUGACAUUGAUUAUCGCAUGAUAAUUGAUUGAAAGAUGCAAUUGCAUCACUACCAGAUGGACCUGCGUUGUAUUAGCUAGUUGGUGAGGUAACGGCUCACCAAGGCGACGAUACAUAGCCGACCUGAGAGGGUGAUCGGCCACACUGGGACUGAGACACGGCCCAGACUCCUACGGGAGGCAGCAGUAGGGAAUCUUCGGCAAUGGGGGGAACCCUGACCGAGCAACGCCGCGUGAGUGAAGAAGGUUUUCGGAUCGUAAAGCUCUGUUGUAAGAGAAGAACGGGUGUGAGAGUGGAAAGUUCACACUGAGACG
rnacentral:rRNA from 1 species